rnacentral:rRNA from 1 species
GACGAACGCUGGCGGCGUGCUUAACACAUGCAAGUCGAACGGAAAGGCCCUGCUUUUGUGGGGUGCUCGAGUGGCGAACGGGUGAGUAACACGUGAGUAACCUGCCCUUGACUUUGGGAUAACUUCAGGAAACUGGGGCUAAUACCGGAUAGGAGCUCCUGCUGCAUGGUGGGGGUUGGAAAGUUUCGGCGGUUGGGGAUGGACUCGCGGCUUAUCAGCUUGUUGGUGGGGUAGUGGCUUACCAAGGCUUUGACGGGUAGCCGGCCUGAGAGGGUGACCGGCCACAUUGGGACUGAGAUACGGCCCCGACUCCUACGGGCGGCAGCAGUGGGGAAUAUUGCACAAUGGGCGGAAGCCUGAUGCAGCAACGCCGCGUGCGGGAUGACGGCCUUCGGGUUGUAAACCGCUUUCGCCUGUGACGAAGCGUGAGUGACGGUAAUGGGUAAAGAAGCACCGGCUAACUACGUG